UUAGGAGCGCUCGGGUACAAUCGCGUAGCUUCGGUACUUUCAAAUAAUAAUGGCCUCCACCGCUAAACUAAACUUUUAUAAUAUUAUUAUGGUUUGCGUGUUUCGCCUUGGGUUACCUCUCUCAGUUGAAGAGGUAAAAACUACAGAAAACGAGCCCAGCACGAGCAAAAGCUGUUCAACGCCACCGUACAUACGUUCUUUUUUUAUUUGCCUUUAGUGUGUUACGGUCGAGUCAUUCUCCUCGAAUAUUUCAAUGGGAAAUAAAGAGCUUCUUCCAGGCACCCCUGGAAAAAAUCCUCUAGAACUUAUCAGAAAUGAAGAACAUAUUUUAUACUUGUAAUUGAUUCUAGUUUGAGUCAUUUUCCUCGAAUAUUUCAAUAGGAAAUGAAGGGCUUCUUCCAGGCAGUUGAGAUAUCAUUAGUAGAUCAAUAUUAAGGGCAUAAAUCUAGCUACACCCUUUUAUAAAUGUCUAUUGUAUCAGAAAUGAGAAUAAAAAGUACAGUAUUUUUCCUUGUAUAAUUAGUCAAACAGCAAUUUAGAAAUAAUAAGAAAUAGAAAAAAAAUGU